GCUGAAAGCAUUUGAAAUUUAUCAAUUUUCACUCUAGCAGAAGGUAGUUUCGGACUUUGCCGAUUAUUACAAAUGAGGCCUUAUCACUGAAGUUUGUAACAUCCGAUAUCAGCGGAUAACUGCCAUUGCAUUUAGCGACAGCUGUAAACAGAAUGGCAGAAGAACCUUUUGAGAGGACGGAAAAGAAACCCGAGCCUGUCAGCAUUACCUCCCCUGAAAUGUAAGAAACUGGUGGAUUCCAAGACAAAAUUGUGGAAAAUGGAGACAUCUUCAAAUAACAGAAAGAAAUAAAGGCUGAAGAGGCAGGAUCACAGAUGUCAGAUGAAAGUUACCGCAAAAAAGGUUAAGUUGGAAAAGAGUGAAAAUGAAAAUGGAUGCUUGUGCAGUGACUGAAGUUGAAGUCAUAAAUUGAGGAUGAUGAAGCUACACGAAAAAGCUCUCAGCUCUACAGUCCGAGUCUGACCGACUUGUCCGACGAGCCACUGUCGGCGGCACUGCGAUCGCAGGCCCCUCACGGUGUGUGCUUACUCAGGCAAGUGUCGUGGGGAUUUGUUAAUGUAGAGGCUGACUAUACGCU